GACAGAGGCCACAAGCGUUAGGCGGAAUCACUGGGCUUAAAGCGUGUGUAGGCGGACCGUUAAGUGCUUUGUGAAAUCCCCCGGCUCAACCGGGGAACGGCUUGGCAUACUGGCGGUCUUGAGCCACCUAGGGGCAGCUGGAACAAACGGUGGAGCGGUGAAAUGCGUAGAUAUCGUUUGGAACGCCAACGGUGAAAACAGGCUGCUGGGGGUGAGCUGACGCUGAGACACGAAAGCCAGGGGAG
rnacentral:rRNA from 1 species